rnacentral:rRNA from 1 species
UACGAAGGUGGCUAGCGUUGUUCGGAUUUAUUGGGCGUAAAGGGUCCGCAGGCGGUUUGGAAAGUCAGGUGUGAAAUCCCACAGCUCAACUGUGGACACGCAUUUGAAACUUCCAGACUAGAGUGUGAGAGGGGUGAAUGGAAUUUCCAGUGUAGGGGUGAAAUCCGUAGAUAUUGGAAAGAACACCGGCCGCGAAGGCGAUUCGCUGGCUCAUUACUGACGCUCAGGGACGAAAGCCAGGGGAGCAAACGGG